UACGAGGGGGGCGAGCGUUGUUCGGAAUUAUUGGGCGUAAAGCGUGCGCAGGCGGUCUUGCAAGUCAGAUGUGAAAUCCCCGGGCUCAACCUGGGAACUGCAUUUGUGACUGCAAGGCUGGAGUACGGUAGAGGGGGAUGGAAUUCCGCGUGUAGCAGUGAAAUGCGUAGAGAUGUGGAGGAAUACCGAUGGCGAAGGCAGCCCCCUGGGCCAAUACUGACGCUCAUGCACGAAAGCGUGGGGAGCAAACAGG
rnacentral:rRNA from 1 species